GAUGAACGCUAGCGGGAGGCCUAACACAUGCAAGCCGAGCGGUAGAGUCUCUUCGGAGACUUGAGAGCGGCGCACGGGUGCGGAACACGUGUGCAACCUGCCUUUAUCUGGGGGAUAGCCUUUCGAAAGGAAGAUUAAUACCCCAUAAUAUACUGGAUGGCAUCAUCUGGUAUUGAAAACUCCGGUGGAUAGAGAUGGGCACGCGCAAGAUUAGAUAGUUGGUGAGGUAACGGCUCACCAAGUCAGCGAUCUUUAGGGGGCCUGAGAGGGUGAUCCCCCACACUGGGACUGAGACACGGACCAGACUCCUACGGGAGGCAGCAGUGAGGAAUAUUGGACAAUGGGUGAGAGCCUGAUCCAGCCAUCCCGCGUGAAGGACGACGGCCCUAUGGGUUGUAAACUUAUUUUGUAUAGGGAUAAACCUAGAUACGUGUAUCUAGCUGAAGGUACUAUACGAAUAAGCACCGGCUAACUCCGUG
rnacentral:rRNA from 1 species